AGAAUGAUAUACAUAAUUUCCGUUCUUAAUUCAAGAAGAUUAAAAAUGAUGAAAUACCGGAAGACAACCAACGUAUGACCAUCGAAUAUUUAAAAUUCUCCGAGGAGAUACCAUGACUCAUUAAUUUUUUAAUGCCCGUACGUAUCAUCGAUUUUCGAGACGCCAAGCAGAAUUCUCUCUUACCGACGUUCUGUUUCUUCACUUCUCUCUUCUUGACCUUACACUAAUCUUCUUUUCAUCAAAUCUACGUGUGCUUCGAGAUUCUGCCAAUUGGAACUUAUGAUGUUGCUUUAUCGUGAUCAUCGUAAUCAGACCAAUCCAAGAAGAAUAUAGAAAAUCAUAAAAAACAUUUAAGGACACUUUUA